rnacentral:rRNA from 1 species
UACGUAGGGAGCGAGCGUUGUUCGGAGUUACUGGGCGUAAAGCGUGCGUAGGCGGUGUCUUAAGUUUGUUGUGAAAUCUCCCGGCUUAACCGGGAGGGCGCGGCGAAUACUGAGAUGCUGGAGUGCCGGAGAGGUAAGCGGAAUUCCUGGUGUAGCGGUGAAAUGCGUAGAUAUCAGGAGGAACACCUGCGGUGUAGACGGCUUACUGGACGGUAACUGACGCUGAGGCACGAAAGCGUGGGUAGCAAACAGG